GCUGUUCUGCGUUCUCCACCUCGGGAGUCCCCGGUGACUGUCACAGCCUCUUGCCCUGUGAUCUGCCGGUUCUGGGAGACGCACAGCUAAGAUGCCAGGACAUCCUGGAAGCUGGGAAAAGUCUUGCUUUGUUGCCCAGGCUGGAGUGCAGUGGCGUGAUCACUGCAACCUCUGCCUCCCAGGCUCAAGCGAUUCUCUUGCCUCAGCAUCCCCGAAUGGAGUUUCACUCUUGUUGCCCAGGCUGGAGUGCAGUAUCCCAAUCUUGGCUCACUGCAACCUCCGCCUCCCAGGUUCAAGUGAUUUUCCUACCUCAGCCUCCUGAGUAGCUGGGAUUACAAGUGCCUGCCACCACACCUGGCUAAUUUUUUGUAUUUUUAGUAGAGAUGGGGUUUCAUCAUGUUGGCCAGGCUGGUCUCGAACUCCUGACCUCAGGCGAUCCACCCACUUCCCAAAGUGCAGGGAUUACAGGUGUAAGCCACCACGCCCGGCCUCUCAACGUAAUUUUUAUUCUUAGUAGACACAUUGAUGAUGAGCCAAUCAGAUGUUGGUAUUGAUGAGAAAAAGCAGAAAUGAUUUCUGUUGAUUCUUGAAAUAAAAUUUUUUCCAAAGGACAAGAAGAUCCCAUCCCAGUAAGGCAAUGCAAGAACCUGAAGCAAAAUGCACCUGAGGCUUACAGUGGGAUACAGUACAGUGUCUCCUGGGAAGGUGGUCACUAAUUUCAUGGGCAGGAUGGGGAU
rnacentral:lncRNA from 1 species